UUCACAUAUGCGAAUGUGCAACCAAGCCAAGGCUGAGCAACCAAGCAACCUGAGUUGUACUAAUUCACUGAUCAGCAGGGGCUUUCAGUAGCCAGACCUGUUGAGCCACCAUAAUACUUGGAUUCAGACAUGAAGAAAUGUGGAUAUUUUAGACCCUGCGUUUGUACUGAAGUGUCUCUUAAGUUCUUAAUCAGGAUUUGGAUGUCCUUUGUGUUUUUCUGGCCUGUUCAAACACUUACCAAAACUAAAUUCAUUCACUGAUGAUAAUUUGCUUUGAAACCUCCAAAAGCAAAACAAGGUGUAUGGAAUUGUGCAAAUGUAAAAACAUCAGGACAUGUGGCAACGCUUUUUGUGCCAUCUUUUAUCCAAGUGUUUCAGAAUGAUUUACAAGCAUUAAUUAAUGAUCACUUCAGCGGUGUUAUACCUUCUACCCAUCCAGUAAAUAUUACCAAAACAGGGAUCUUUCUUACCAGAGCACUGCUAGGAGUAGCGGAUUUUGUCUGUGCCUUUGCUAUUUCCACGCUUACCACUGAAUCAAUAUUGUUUACGCAGAAACAGCGUUAUAGAUAUGUGCAGCAUCAUUUUCUUGUAGUCUCUGUAUGAUGGAUAGAAGCUAUGCUUUUAUAACCGUUAGAUGCUCUGCUCCUCUCUGGUGGGGGUAACCAAGUUUUCAUUCUGCUCUACUUGGAUGCUCUGAGAGGACUAGAGAAGAAAAUUAUGAAGCAACCAGAGCCGUAUUUGUAUCUUUUCCCUGUCAUGUAGUAGGAAAUCUGCUUGGUAGCUGCAAAGAAACGAUCAGCUUCAUUUGGUGCUAAUGUAGAAGUUUCAUGACGGGAUUGACUUUUGCAGAUUUUAAGUUGAAAUCUUUG
rnacentral:lncRNA from 1 species